UACGUAGGGUGCGAGCGUUAAUCGGAAUUACUGGGCGUAAAGCGUGCGCAGGCGGCGCCGCAAGUCAGGCGUGAAAUCCCCGAGCUUAACUUGGGAAUGGCGCUUGAAACUACGGUGCUGGAGUGUGGCAGAGGGAGGUGGAAUUCCACGUGUAGCGGCGAAAUGCGUAGAGAUGUGGAGGAACACCGAUGGCGAAGGCAGCCUCCUGGGCCAACACUGACGCUCAUGCACGAAAGCGUGGGGAGCAAACAGG
rnacentral:rRNA from 1 species